rnacentral:pre_miRNA from 1 species
UUGCCUCCUUUCUCUUUGGUCCAUUUUAGUGUGAAAAAACAAGGAGUCUCCCAUAUACACACUGAAAUGGACUAAAGAGAAAGGGGCCGG